CCUACGGGUGGCAGCAGUAGGGAAUAUUGCUCAAUGGGCGAAACCCUGAAGCAGCAACGCCGCGUGGGGGAUGAAGGUUUUAGGAUUGUAAACCCCUUUUGUGAGAGAAGAUAAUGACGGUAUCUCACGAGUAAGCACCGGCUAACUCCGUGCCAGCAGCUGCGGUAAUACGGAGGGUGCACGCGUUACUCGGAAUUACUGGGCGUAAAGAGGGCGCAGGCGGGAUUGUAAGUCAGAUGUGAAAGCCUGUAGCUUAACUACAGAACUGCAUUUGAAACUAUGAGUCUGGAGUGUGGGAGAGGUAGGUGGAAUUCGUGGUGUAGGGGUAAAAUGCGUAGAUAUCAAGAGGAAUACCCAUUGCGAAGGCGACCUACUGGAACAUUACUGACGCUGAUGCACGAAAGCGUGGGGAGCGAACAGGAUUAGAUACCCGUGUAGUC
rnacentral:rRNA from 1 species